UCGUAACAAGGUUUCCGUAGGUGAACCUGCGGAAGGAUCAUUGUCGAUGCCUGCAGAGCGACCGCGAACACGUGAACAACGCCGUCGGGCGCCUGCCCUCGAGCGGCGCCCGUCGCUGCCGCCGUCCGUCCGGCUCGUCCGACGCGGGCGCGGCGACACAACGAACCCCGGCGCCAACAGCGCCAAGGAAAACGAAUGGAGAUGCCCUCGCGGUGCGCCCCGUCCGCGGGCGCGCGCCGGAGGCAACUUCGAAAAGUAUAACCACAACGACUCUCGGCAACGGAUAUCUCGGCUCUCGCAUCGAUGAAGAACGUAGCGAAAUGCGAUACUUGGUGUGAAUUGCAGAAUCCCGUGAACCAUCGAGUCUUUGAACGCAAGUUGCGCCCGAAGCCAUUAGGCCGAGGGCACGUCUGCCUGGGCAUCACGCAACGCGUCGCCCCCCUCCUCUUUCUUGGAUCGGGGGCGGAGGAUGGCCCCCCGCGGACUAGCGCCGCGGUCGGCCCAAAUAAGGAAUCGCCCCGACGGCGGGCCGUCGCGACAGGUGGUGGCGUCCGACGAUCAUCGCGUCCUGUAGCGCCCGUGCCCGUCGCGAGAAGCGAGUCCCCCAACCCUUCGGCUCUUGUCUGUCUAUUCAUAAUUCAGACGGGGCAUCGACCGCGAUCCCAGGUCAGGCGGGACUACCCGCUGAGUUUAAGCAUA
rnacentral:rRNA from 1 species